GAGGAAGCUCUCAGUCUCCAUCCCUCAGGUUCAGAAACCCAAACUACUUAGAGUUGGCGUUCGGCUGUGGAUGUCUGGCUCUGAGGCUGGGAUCAGAUCUACUGGUUCUUCACCAGGGACCCUGGGAGGGGAGGAUCUUGCAGCUGACUGCCACGUUCCGGACAGACACUCUUGCCCUGGAGCAACUUGGAAACCUGGCGUUUUUGUGUUUUUCCACCUGAACUAAAGAGUUUAAUCGCAACCAGGUCUCCAGUGCUGUGUAAGCAGCCCCCCUCCUGGUCCUCCCAGCCCUCCUGGUCCUCCCAGACAUGAUCAUCAGACUGGGCAGACUGACCCCUGGAUAUUUCCGCCUCCUCCAGAGGCAGGUGGCAGGUGAGGUGCAGACCCAGCCUCAGGACCGGGCCGUGAACCAGAUCGCCAUGAUGCUGGCCAUCAUGGGGCUCAGCCUGUCCUACUACAGCGCACGGCAGAUGACCGAGACAGUCCGUGUCCAGCCUGGGCCCUGACCACCCCCGGCAGGGCUGCCUGGAGCCCGCGUGAAGUCAACGAGCCAAAGCCUCGGUGUGGAGGAGGAGGAGGAGAGAUGGAGGGAGAAGACGAGGAAAUGAAGUGGUCUAGAACAGCACCUUUCACACCUUUUUACAGCCGUAGUCAAGUUCACACUGGAUUUUGUUGGAUCACUAAUUCACCAUGUGGGGGAGGGGAGAGCUGCUUCUGGUGUUUAGCUUGUCAGGGUCUGGCCCCGGGAGACAGGCAUGUGGGGGAGGGCCCCAGGGUCCUAGUGGGCCUGGGUUUAGGGAGACGUGCUCGGGUCUGAGCUGCCGUCGUUGCAGAGACACACGAGAUGAGGGACGCCAUCGAUACUGUUCUGAGCUAUAAAAAAAAAGGACGGCAAAAAUAAAUAAAAAGCUCAGGAAAAAAGGUUAUUCUAAAGUAACUGUGAAUCCCGCUGACGCUCAAAGCAAGCGGGAGAAACUGAACAGUAGUUCUAAAGGGAAGGCUCUCCUCAUUGAUGUGAGUCUCGGAAUGAUGGAAGGCGGGCUCUCGACAUGGCAAGCUCAGUAUCUAGUAGGCGGCAAACAGUCAAACACAACUGGUGAAACUCACUUUAGCAACUUCCUAUCAGGAGGCAGAAGGAUCCAAAAUGCUACCUUGUUUUUGUUUGUUUUCAAUUCUUUUUUCACAAAGUAUCGCAUUAAUCGAUUUAAGUCUUGUUCAAGACAUGUGGCUUUCUUGAAACAAUCCCUAUAACUCCAGUAUUCACUAGGCUAUAACACUUUCUAACCAUCAGUAAACUUUGCAUGGGUGUGGAGCUUAAUGCGUCUCUAAGAAAAUCAGAUUUCAAAUUGCUGUCAUGUUAGGUUUUUUAAAAUAACGAUAAGAUGAAUGUAUAUUUCUGUAAUGUUGUUUUUUAUGAUUAAAUAAAGCUGUGACUAUUUGAAUGACA